AGAUGGCGACCGGCGCACGGGUGAGUAACACGUAUCCAACCUGCCGAUAACUCGGGGAUAGCCUUUCGAAAGAAAGAUUAAUACCCGAUGGCAUAGUUCUUCCGCAUGGUGGAACUAUUAAAGAAUUUCGGUCAUCGAUGGGGAUGCGUUCCAUUAGGUUGUUGGCGGGGUAACGGCCCACCAAGCCUUCGAUGGAUAGGGGUUCUGAGAGGAAGGUCCCCCACAUUGGAACUGAGACACGGUCCAAACUCCUACGGAGGCAGCAUG
rnacentral:rRNA from 1 species